ensembl:lncRNA
CUAUUUCCAAGGCUCUAAUCUCAUGCAGUUCAGCUGAAAAAACAUCAGCCUUCUGCGGAUCUUUCUAUAUAGGCAACCAUGUAAAUGACUCAAUGGUGUGUUGGAAGAAACUCAGUGUGCUGGUUUUCCAGCAUGUUUGGAAGCUCUCUAGUGUGGUGUCAGUGCCUCCUGGCACCCAGCAACUCUGCCUGCGAGAAGGAAGCGUGACCCCCUGAAUGUGCAGAACUAAGGGGUAAAGAGCAGGGCAGCAGCCCAAACUGCUAAUUUGGGUUUCCUUAAGAAAACGGUGGAGUUAGAUUUCCUUGCUAAUUGCAGUUCAGUAGAUCAUUUCUGGAAAACAAUGUGUUUCAACGUGGUAGUCUGAUUAAAAAAGGAAGUGGGGCUUUCCCACUGCUGACUUACAAGAGGAGUUAAGCAGUGCAGGUCACUUCUUGCUGUGUAAGGCCAGGCAGGUUGCAGGCAGACUGGGUGGAAGUGGAGGUGACUGUCCCCACCCUGGACUGCUUGAGCAUCCUGUCAGGACUCACGGAAAAGAUGUGCAACUGUGGGCCUGAUGGAGCACUGUGACCUGUGCUCCACUGGGGAGGAAGAGGGAAGCAUGCCCUCUCAGCUAUUGCAUUGACGUUAAGCUUGAUUUAUAUCAAGCAGCUGGGGAUUUCUGCUAACUGAUUUUUACUUAGGGUGACAUACUGGCACAGUUCUGCUUUCCUUACUGGCAGCACAGAAGAUUAAAAAGUAACUCCAAAGUCUUCUUUGUAUUGUUUGUUUCCUUGCUGCACUCACCAACAGGGAGCCGGUGCUCUUUGUGUCCUGCAGGCAAUGCCAAGAAAACGCACCGAGCUUUGAUGGACACAUUGCAGAGUAUUUUCUCGGACACCUCAGAAGAUAUAGCAGUGAGAAAUGCCUGGAUGUGAGAGAAACUUGGCAUAUUUUCAUGUCUGCCUUGAAUAACCCAUCCUGCUGGGUUGCUCGCCUUUUGCCUACAAGUGGGUGUAGCUCACUGUGGUUUUGCAUGAGCGGUCGUGCAGGAAGAGGUGAGACCCACCAAACCACAGUUUGCCUCGCUCCCUGUGAGCAAUGCUGUUGAUAUAACGACCCAGCUCAGACAGGGAAGGAUUUCUAGUGGCUGCCACUGAUUUCCUACAGGAGGGCACUGUGGAAGGAAGGAGAGGUGGUACGCAUGGGGAAAGAUCAAAGUGCUUUCAGAGAUCUGCAGUAGUAUCGCAUUCUUCUUUCGAUUACGUGAGUGCAGCUGAAGACCUGGAGCAGCAGUGAUGAGGUGCAUGCACUGCAGCUACUCCCUUCCCUAUUCUCAUAGGAAGCUCAUGCGUUGAGGGAAGAAGUUCCCAGAGCUUUCUGUGCUGGUGAAAGAGGCAGCUGUGCUAAUUCUGAUACCGAGUAUUCUCUUACAAACUGAGAUGCUGCAAAACUCCUCAGAAGAGCAGAAAAGGAAGACUUACACCUCUGUCUGACACAGUUAAAAUCUCUCCCUGUGCACUUAUCAGCUUGCAUAUCUCUGUGAAACUCUGUGCUUCAGCGAGGGCUACAUCACUAGGCAACUACUGCAAAGAAACAUGAGUUCUACAGGAUUUCAGGGAAGAAUUCUUCCUCUACUUUUGUUCACUUCUGAGUUUGUUUCUUGGCACCCUCUUCCUUAAUGUGAGGUCAGCCAGAGUACUUUCACAGUUUUUCCUGUCUGUUUUGUCGUUUGUUUCUGUUUCGCAGGCUUACAGCUCCGAAGUCUUUCCAAGAGAGAAGAGAAACCAAACUGGAAGAUGAGAGCAUUGCACAGGCACCAAAUGCUGUUUCUGUUCAACCUUUGUUUCAUCGAGAAAAGUGGGUGUCUAAAAUCAAAGCACGCAUUACUUCCCAUCACUUACUUGUAAUCUGAGACUAGUGUUUUAGUGGAGUCUGCUGCCAGACUACAGAGAAAAGGAAACUUAGUGGAUCACCAGGUUUUUCAGCCUCUGAGAAAGAUAACCAACCAAGCACCAAGAGACAGGAUAGAAGCAUGAAGGUGGUAAUUAACCACAUAGCUGAUUUUGGACUGUUACCAUGCUACCAGAAAAACAUGCUGGGAGAAGCCAUCAUCCACCGUGAAUGAGUUUUCUUGUAUAUGGAAUCCACUUGUUUAAUAGGGCUCUUUUUGAGACUCAAUGAGACUCACUUUAAACAAUAACAGAAUCACAAAAUCACAGAGUUGUAGGAGUUGGAAAGGACCUCUAGAAAUCAUCGAGUCCAACCUCUUCUGCUAAAGGAGUUCCCUGCAGCAGGUCACACAGGAAAGUGUCCAGGUCGGUUUUGAAUAUCUCCAGAGAAGGAGACUCCACAACAUCUCUGGGCAGCCUGCUCCAAUGCUCUGCCACCCUCACAAUAAAGAAGUUCUUCCUCAUGUACGUAUGGAACUUCCUGUGUUCCAGUUUGUGCCUAUUUCUGUUGUCCUGUCACUGGGCUCUGCUGAAGGAGACUGGCCACAUCCACUUGACUCCUGCCCUUUAGAUAUUUAUCAACAGUGAUGAGAUCCCUCUCAGUCUUCUCCAGACGGAAUAGUCUCUCAGCCUUUCUUCAUAAGGGAGAUGCUCCAGGCCCCUAAUACUCUUUCUGGCCUUCCACUGGACUCUCUCAAGAAGAUCCCUGUCUUUCUUGAGUGAGGAGCCCAGAACUGGAUGCA